UACGUAGGGUGCAAGCGUUAAUCGGAAUUACUGGGCGUAAAGCGUGCGCAGGCGGUUAUGUAAGACAGAUGUGAAAUGCCCGGGCUUAACCUGGGAACUGCAUUUGUGACUGCAUGGCUAGAGUUUGGCAGAGGGGGGUAGAAUUCCACGUGUAGCAGUGAAAUGCGUAGAUAUGUGGAGGAACACCGAUGGUGAAGGCAGCCCCCUGGGUCAAGACUGACGCUCAUGCACGAAAGCGUGGGGAGCAAACAGG
rnacentral:rRNA from 1 species